CCUACGGGAGGCAGCAGUGAGGAAUAUUGGUCAAUGGGCGGAAGCCUGAACCAGCCAAGUAGCGUGCAGGAUGACGGCCCUACGGGUUGUAAACUGCUUUUAUACGGGAAUAACGCGCCUUACGUGUAGGGCUUUGCAUGUACCGUAUGAAUAAGGACCGGCUAAUUCCGUGCCAGAAGCCGCGGUAAUACGGAGGGUCCGGGCGUUAUCCGGAAUUUGUGGGUUUAAAGGGUGCGCAGGCGGGCUGUUAAGGAAGGGGGAAAAGCCCGGGGCUCAACCCCGGCCCGCCGUUGAAACUGGCAGUCUCGAGUUGGAGAGAAGUAUGCGGAAUGCGCGGUGUAGCGGUGAAAUGCAUAGAUAUCGCGCAGAACUCCGAUUGCGAAGGCAGCAUGCCGGCUCCACACUGACGCUGAGGCACGAAAGCGUGGGUAUCGAACAGGAUUAGAUACCCCUGUAGUC
rnacentral:rRNA from 1 species